UCCAGGGUAGCCUAGUGGACAUGGCAUCUGCCCAAUAAGCGGAACACUGUGGGUUCGAUUCCCAUCCCUGGAU
rnacentral:tRNA from 1 species